rnacentral:rRNA from 1 species
UACGUAGGGCGCAAGCGUUGUCCGGAAUUAUUGGGCGUAAAGAGCUCGUAGGCGGCUUGUCACGUCGAUUGUGAAAGCCCGAGGCUUAACCUCGGGUCUGCAGUCGAUACGGGCUAGCUAGAGUGUGGUAGGGGAGAUCGGAAUUCCUGGUGUAGCGGUGAAAUGCGCAGAUAUCAGGAGGAACACCGGUGGCGAAGGCGGAUCUCUAGUACGGUACUGACGCUAAGACGCGAAAGCGUGGGGAGCAAACAGG